GAUUUCUUUCUUGCUUCUGCCUUCUCCACUUCUCUCUGUUCUCUCGUUCCCCAAAGGAAAACUCUUCUUGCAAGCAAGCAGCGGACCGAAUUGUGCACCAACGCUGACGUGGAUUAAAUAAAACGGCACGUUUCGUCUGGAACGGGAAGGGAAUUUAAAUGAGAUAAGGAACUGAAACGCACCGUUUAGUCCAAUCACCCAUUCUUGUUUGUUCCUCCUCUUCGCAUUCCUUCACUCUCUCUCCAUUCUCCUCCAUUCUCUUCACUUCUCCCCUGUUGAUUCUCGUUCUCUCCUCCGUCAAAAUCCAUCGUGAUUGUCUUCUUUUGUUAUGAACCCUAACCUAAGUUGAUGUCCUCUUCUUAUGUCAUUUAAUCCCCAUUUUUUGUUCCAAACCCUAAUCCCUGCAAAUCCCUCUUCUCCGUGAAAAGCUCGUUGAGAGCAACGUUUAUUCUUCUCAACCACAGAAUCGCUAUUGGUGAUCUGUAUAACUUGGUCUAUUCAGCUGAAUGGUUGUUGGUGGUGCUUAAAACAAUCCAUACUUGUUUGGAGCUGCAAAAAAGAAUAUUUUCUUUAAUCUUCUAUAUGCUGAAGGCAGUAGCUCAAUGUUGCAGUUAUGAUGAGGAUGCGCAACAUAUAGCAAUGGAUGUACCAAUAAGAAGUGAUUUGAUUCAAGUUUGAAGCACUAUAUGAACAAGGGAAGGUAAAAGAGAAUUAGGAUUGAGGCCACUAGAGAUGACAGAGUGAUCUGUAAUGUUAAGGAAGAUAUGACCUUUUUUUAGGAAGCUGCCAAUAAGCUAUUGGUUUACCAGAGUUUUUGGUAAGUUUAGAUUAUUAGAGGGGUUUUGGUUCUUCUUCCAUUUAGGUCCUGACUUUUUGGAAGCUGUUUGAUGUAUCAUUCGAGUAGUUCUUAUGUUGUAAUUUAGGAAAGAGGUGUGAUCUUUGGACAUGUUUCUUUUCUCAUAUUGUUGUGAACUGUAACUUACAAAAAUAAUUGUUAUAAUUACGAACUUUGAGGCGAAUGAAGAAAUUUUUUGUCCUGGUGGGAUG